rnacentral:piRNA from 1 species
UGUUUGACAGGAAUGCUCUGAAGUACAGA